AGCUCCAGUAGUGUAUACUAAAUUUGCUGCAGUUAAAAAGCUCGUAGUUUGAAUUGAAGGGUGGAUAUGGUGUUCCUUGGCGAUAGCCUUGGUUCACCACCAUUCUUUUGCGGAUGUCAGGCAACUGCCAUCCACUCAUUACUUUGAGAAAAUUAGAGCGCUCCAAGCAGGCUCCAAAACACGCCUUGAAUAGUUCAGCAUGGAAUAAUGGAACAUGUCUUUACAUGUUGUUUAUUGGAUUUAUGCAUGUUAGAGAAAUGAUUAAUGCGGAUGACUCGAGGGCAUCAGUAUGCACGGGGGAGAGGUGAAAUUUUAUGAUCCCGGACAGACUAACAGAUGCGAAAGCGCUUGCCAAGGGCUUCCCGA
rnacentral:rRNA from 1 species